rnacentral:rRNA from 1 species
AGAGUUUGAUCCUGGCUCAGGAUGAACGCUAGCUACAGGCUUAACACAUGCAAGUCGAGGGGAAACGAUAUUGGAAGCUUGCAUCCGAUAGGCGUCGACCGGCGCACGGGUGAGUAACGCGUAUCCAACCUGCCCACCACUUGGGGAUAACCUUGCGAAAGUAAGACUAAUACCCAAUGAUAUCUCUAGAAGACAUCUGAAAGAGAUUAAAGAUUUAUCGGUGAUGGAUGGGGAUGCGUCUGAUUAGCUUGUUGGCGGGGUAACGGCCCACCAAGGCAACGAUCAGUAGGGGUUCUGAGAGGAAGGUCCCCCACAUUGGAACUGAGACACGGUCCAAACUCCUACGGGAGGCAGCAGUGAGGAAUAUUGGUCAAUGGACGAGAGUCUGAACCAGCCAAGUAGCGUGCAGGAAGACGGCCCUAUGGGUUGUAAACUGCUUUUAUAAGGGAAUAAAGUGAGAGCCGUGACUCUUUUUGCAUGUACCUUAUGAAUAAGGACCGGCUAAUUCCGUGCCAGCAGCCGCGGUAAUACGUAGGUGGCGAGCGUUGUCCGGAAUUAUUGGGCGUAAAGGGAGCGCAGGCGGGAAGGUAAGUCUAUCUUAAAAGUGCGGGGCUCAACCCCGUGAGGGGAUGGAAACUAUCUUUCUUGAGUGCAGGAGAGGAAAGCGGAAUUCCUAGUGUAGCGGUGAAAUGCGUAGAUAUUAGGAGGAACACCAGUGGCGAAGGCGGCUUUCUGGACUGUAACUGACGCUGAGGCUCGAAAGCGUGGGGAGCGAACAGGAUUAGAUACCCUGGUAGUCCACGCCGUAAACGAUGAAUGCUAGGUGUAGGAGGUAUCGACCCCUUCUGUGCCGGAGUUAACGCAAUAAGCAUUCCGCCUGGGGAGUACGGCCGCAAGGCUGAAACUCAAAGGAAUUGACGGGGGCCCGCACAAGCGGUGGAGUAUGUGGUUUAAUUCGACGCAACGCGAAGAACCUUACCAGGGCUUGACAUUGAGUGAAAGGACAAGAGAUUGUCCCCUCUCUUCGGAGACACGAAAACAGGUGGUGCAUGGCUGUCGUCAGCUCGUGUCGUGAGAUGUUGGGUUAAGUCCCGCAACGAGCGCGACCCCUAUUCUUUGUUGCCAGCACGUAAUGGUGGGAACUCAAAGGAGACUGCCGCGGACAACGCGGAGGAAGGCGGGGAUGACGUCAAGUCAUCAUGCCCCUUAUGUCCUGGGCUACACACGUACUACAAUGGGAUGGACAGAGAGCAGCAAAGCCGCGAGGCCAAGCGAACCCCAUAAACCAUCUCCCAGUUCGGAAUGCAGGCUGCAACCCGCCUGCAUGAAGUUGGAAUCGCUAGUAAUCGCAGGUCAGCAUACUGCGGUGAAUACGUUCCCGGGCCUUGUACACACCGCCCGUCACACCACGGAAGUCAUUCACACCCGAAGCCGGCAGGCUAACCUUUUGGAGGCAGCCGUCUAAGGUGGGGGCGAUGACUGGGGUGAAGUCGUAACAAGGUA